rnacentral:rRNA from 1 species
AACGAACGCUGGCGGCAGGCUUAACACAUGCAAGUCGAGCGCCCCGCAAGGGGAGCGGCAGACGGGUGAGUAACGCGUGGGAACGUACCCUUUGCUACGGAAUAGCUCCGGGAAGCUGGAAUUAAUACCGUAUGUGCCCUACGGGGGAAAGAUUUAUCGGCAAAGGAUCGGCCCGCGUUGGAUUAGCUAGUUGGUGGGGUAAUGGCCGACCAAGGCGACGAUCCAUAGCUGGUCUGAGAGGAUGAUCAGCCACAUUGGGACUGAGACACGGCCCAAACUCCUACGGGAGGCAGCAGUGGGGAAUAUUGGACAAUGGGCGCAAGCCUGAUCCAGCCAUGCCGCGUGAGUGAUGAAGGCCUUAGGGUUGUAAAGCUCUUUCACCGGAGAAGAUAAUGACGGUAUCCGGAGAAGAAGCCCCGGCUAACUUCGUGCCAGCAGCCGCCGUAAUAC